ACAAGGCAGGCGUGAAGCACGCAUUUUCUCUCCUGUGCCCCCCCGCCCUUGCACCAUGAUGACAACCAUGAUGAUGCUGGAAUGAGCUUCAGAGAGAGCCAUCAACACAGCCAGACUGGAAAGCAUGGAGUUAUACGCAAUGGUGUGCAAACUGCCAGAGAUACAGGACAACGAGCAUGGACACCCAGGGAGCACUAAACCAAUCCACUUACACCAUUUUCCCCAAUCUUCCCUUCAACUGAAGAGAGACUGUGACUUUUGCAGAACUCAAACGGUACAACAGAAGUAGAAGGACAUCCUCACAGGAAGGUAAGUGCCCUGGUCUGGCGCCAGCACUAUGAAGAACUUCCUUUGCAUGAAACCAAAGUGGGUCAUUCCUCAGAAGAAAGGAGGUCUUUCUUUUUACCAGACCUCUACUUUCUUGAGCAAGGGCCUUUUACCAAACCACUAAAAAUAAAUUACUCGAAUUAGGAUUACAGAACAAUUAAGAAG